CAAGAACAAAUCUCAAAUUCUUGCUCACAGAGAAAAGAGAUACAAAGAGAGCUAUUACAUAGAAGUUACAAACACAAGGAACGAAAAAGGAGAACCAACCCAGAAAUAUAGCUGAUGUGCAACAAGCCAAAGAAGAGAGACUCUUACACAAAGUUGCAUCAACCUAUACACUAAUACAAAGAGCCUUGAUUUCUCACUCUCUCAACAUACUGUGUAGACAAAGAGAAGCUUACCUCACUCUCCCACAAAGGAUGCAACCCACCAAGGUCAGAUACGAGAUUCCUCUUCAAAUAGGUGAUUGCCCUUCCUUUAUUUCUCUUCUAAGUAUGGUGCACCAUCACACUAGGAGCAUAAGCAAAGAGCCAUGAUCUCUUCCUUUCCCAACUCAAAAGAGAGCUUUUCUCUCUUGUAGAUAUGACGGCCACACUUGACUCCAAUAUCACUCUCUCCAUAUAAGGUUCAAAGCAAGUGUAUUGGAGAAGGCACCGAUGAGUGGUUGAUAUUAGCCCACAUCCAAAAGUCACAUAGCCUACAAAAGAAGCUACACCAACAUCUGGC
rnacentral:lncRNA from 1 species